GCUGCCUGCAGAACAAGAUGUAAAUUCUCAGCUCCUUCUCCAACACUGUGUCUGCCUAUGAUCUGCCAUGUUUCCUGCCAUGACAAUAAUGGAUUAAACCUCUGAAACUAAAGACACAAGUGACAGAAGUUCAAGAAGCUUUGCUUGAGAUGCCCUGGGUCCUUCUAUUGGAGAACAGGAGCAAAAAGGUCUGGCCUCAGGUAAAAACCCGUCCCGUAGUUUUCCAUGUUACCAUUUACCCUCACUUGGAACACUGGCCUUAAGAGACACCGCAUCUUCACCAGCAGCAGCAACUGGACCAAGGAGCUAAGAUAUAAUGGCUUUCCCAAGAAUUUAUAAGGGGUAAGUAUGAAAUUUAUUGGGAUAUCAAGAGGAGGCCAUAAUAAUUUGGAUCUGAAAGGACUCCCGAAGAUCCCAUGCUAAAGUCUUGGUCACCAGCCUGUGGCACUAUUGGAAGAUGAAGCAACCUAAGGUAAGAGGACCAGCCACCAAGAAGAUAAUUAUAGAGGUGCUUAAAAAAAAAACAAACUGAAAAUAGACCUACCAUGUGACCCAGAUUUAA